rnacentral:rRNA from 1 species
CAGCCGUAAACUAUGCGCGUUAGGUGUAUCGGUGACCACGAGUUACCGAGGUGCCGAAGGGAAACCGUGAAACGUGCCGCCUGGGAAGUACGGUCGCAAGGCUGAAACUUAAAGGAAUUGGCGGGGGAGCACCACAACAGGUGGAGCCUGCGGUUUAAUUGGACUCAACGCCGGGAAGCUCACCGGAUAGGACAGCAGAAUGAUUGCCGGGCUGAAGACUCUGCAUGACUAGCUGAGAGGAGGUGCAUGGCGUCAGUGACU